rnacentral:tRNA from 1 species
GCCUGCCUAGCUCAGUCAGUAGAGCGUGAGGCUCUUAAUCUCAGAAUCGUGUGUCUGAGCUUCACGUUGGGCA